AUUGAACGCUGGCGGCAUGCUUUACACAUGCAAGUCGAACGGUAACAGGGAGCUUGCUCCGCUGACGAGUGGCGAACGGGUGAGUAAUGCAUCGGAACAUGCCCAGUCAUGGGGGAUAACUACGCGAAAGCGUAGCUAAUACCGCAUACGCCCUGAGGGGGAAAGGUGGGGGAGUCUUAGGACCUCACGUGAUUGGAGUGGCCGAUGUCAGAUUAGCUAGUUGGUGAGGUAAAGGCUCACCAAGGCGACGAUCUGUAGCGGGUCUGAGAGGAUGAUCCGCCACACUGGGACUGAGACACGGCCCAGACUCCUACGGGAGGCAGCAGUGGGGAAUUUUGGACAAUGGGCGCAAGCCUGAUCCAGCCAUGCCGCGUGAGUGAAGAAGGCC
rnacentral:rRNA from 1 species